AGGGAUGGAGGCCUUCGGGUUGUAAACCUCUUUCGCCAGUGAAGCAGGCCUGCCCCUUGUGGGUGGGUUGACGGUAGCUGGAUAAGAAGCGCCGGCUAACUACGUGCCAGCAGCCGCGGUAAUACGUAGGGCGCGAGCGUUGUCCGGAAUUAUUGGGCGUAAAGAGCUCGUAGGCGGCUGGUCGCGUCUGUCGUGAAAUCCUCUGGCUUAACUGGGGGCUUGCGGUGGGUACGGGCCGGCUUGAGUGCGGUAGGGGAGACUGGAACUCCUGGUGUAGCGGUGGAAUGCGCAGAUAUCAGGAAGAACACCGGUGGCGAAGGCGGGUCUCUGGGCCGUUACUGACGCUGAGGAGCGAAAGCGUGGGGAGCGAACAGGAUUAGAUACCCUGGUAGUCCACGCCGUAAACGUUGGGCACUAGGUGUGGGGGGCCUUUUCCGGGUCUUCCGCGCCGUAGCUAACGCAUUAAGUGCCCCGCCUGG
rnacentral:rRNA from 1 species